rnacentral:lncRNA from 1 species
GAAUGGUUAAAUAAAAAUCACUAGUUGUCUGAAUGAUUCAUCCUUUUCCAACAUUCCUGUUCAUACCAUAUAGUAAAGAUAUGGACGCUUCCUAGUGGAAAAACUUACUUGACUUUUUCAUUUAUUUUAGGCUUUUGUUCUAGUUUCCUGCAGCCUUCAUGUGACACAAGGAAAUUUCAAGUCCAUAUGCACAAAAUAAAUCAUAAUGCCGUUAUCAUUUCGUCUCCAGUAGCACCUCUUGAUGCCAUUCAGCAAAAGCUGAAACAAGAAGGUUUUAAUGAGAGCAGAAUGGGAGAGGAACCAAGAACUCCAUCAUCUGCAAGUGAAGACCUUCUGGAUGGAUGGCCAGUGAUAGAAGAAACCCAUUCUGUGGUAACUGCUGGUCUUUGCAAGCUCUCAUCCUUAGCACAAAUCCCUUUCUCACACAUUGUGUCUGCCGAUUAGCAAUAGUCUCCCUUCCAGUUUGUAGCCCCAAACUGAUCAUGGGAGCUGUAGUCCCAAACUGAAUUUUUAUGUUCUCCAUUUCUUUCACAGUCCUCUGUUAUGAUGGGCAGCUUCUUUUGCAUGCUUUUAGUUUAAUUUUAUUUAUAAUUACAUGGUUGCAAGCUCUCCAAACCCUGUGGCAGAAUAUAACAGAAAUUUGUCAGGGUUAGAGUUAAUGUCAUUCUUCUGAAUUUGGAGAGGGCAACCAGCAUAUAGCAGCCACACCACAUUGUUUGUUAUUUCCAAAACAUUUAUGCAGCAGUAUAUGUAGGAAUAAAAUGUCUGAAAUGGCAAUGGGUUGGACA